rnacentral:lncRNA from 1 species
UAUGUGAUUGAAAAUCACCAACCUGAAUCUCCAAAAUCACAGACAGUUAUGUUGGUGCAAGCUAACUUGUUUAAUAUCAACUUGUGCGAGCGAAUUUACCUAGAAAUAAACAAACAAACAAACAAACAAUUAGUAACAACAAAAUAAAAUAGUUUUUUUUUUUUUAUGAAAUGGGUAUUUUGAUUGUUAGUUAUGCUUUUUUGGGAUUUUGAUGAAAUGGGUAUUUUGUUUAGGUUUGGGAAAUUGGAUUUGAAGUGAAUCUACAGCAACAGUUUGUCAAUUUAGUGAGUAAUUUUGCUGUUU